GUCGGGAUAGCUCAGUG
rnacentral:tRNA from 7 species